AACGAACGCUGGCGGCGUGGCUAAGGCAUGCAAGUCGAGCGAACCUACUUUGAGGGUAACUGAGAGGUUGGUUAGCGGCGGACGGGUGAGGAAUACAUGGGUAACGUGCCCCGGACUCAGGGAUAGCGUUUAGAAAUAGAACGGUAAUACCUGAUGACCCCGUAGGAUCGCAUGAUCCAGCGGGCAAAGUUCCGGCGGUCUGGGAGCGGCUCAUGUCCUAUCAGCUAGUUGGCGGGGUAACGGCCCACCAAGGCUGCAACGGGUACCGGGCGUGAGAGCGCGACCCGGCACAUCGGAACUGAGACACGGUCCGGACACCUACGGGUGGCUGCAGCAACGAAUAUUCCGCAAUGGACGAAAGUCUGACGGAGCGACGCCGCGUGGAGGAUGAAGUCCC
rnacentral:rRNA from 1 species